UUCAGGUAUACUGGACGUUCAAGUAUACAAUAUGUUAUGGUACACUGUACCUAUUUUGUUUUUAAAAUUGUACCACAAGGUAAAUUGAAAUCCAGUGUUAACUUUUUGUUGGAAAAUGUCUGGUGGUUUCUAAAGGUACGUGUUUAGCUUCACUGAGAGCGAUCAGUGGAUUUGUGCUAAUUAAUCCAGAAAUGUCUUAGAUGUCACUUUUUUUCGUUUACAGUCUUUAAGGUAAUUGUUUUGUGAAUUCUAUAGUUUGUACAAUUUCAAACCAAUGCUGUUUACAACUUCACAGAAGUGGAAUAACUUUCCUAUAUUUCAAAAUGUAAGAAGAACAUGUUUUUUGUGGCCAAUUGGUCGUUCAGGUUUAUUGAGUAGAAUAAGUGUUGAAAAUAUUGUAGUCCCAUGUAAAUCACGUUUAUGUGAGUCACUCUUUCAGAGAGUCAUAGUUGAUUAUUUGUCUGCCAGUGGAUUAUUAAAUGCAAUUUACAGUUCACUGUAACACAGCUGCUGACUGUUUGCGGAGUUACACAUAAUACAGCCUGACUCAAUCUAUUGAGUCAAUACUCAAGCUGUUGUAUGGAGUUUUGUCAAUAAAUAUGUACAAAAAAACCUAAAAAAAACUUGUCAUAUGCUGUUGAGGCUUUUUGUUAUACAGAAGUGGGUAUGGUUGCCAGGAAAGGGGUAAAUAAAGUUUAGCUAAAUGUUGAUGCUAUAAAAACAGCUAUGGCCAUUUUCUAUCAAGAUAUUUUUUGGGCUUUUAACCUUCAUUUGAGAGAGACAGCCUAAGACUGACAGGAAGGUGGGGGAAUGACAUACAACCACAAACAAGAGACCUUGAGCAUUUAGAGGAUGGGUGGUUAACAAUAAGGGAAUUUCUAAGCAAUUCACAUGAGAGAAGUGCUCCCCAUCCAGUCGCCAAAAACAAAAAUUUGUAUAGAUUUAUCCAGUUGUUUUUUAAACCAAAUCCCAAUAUUUAUCUGGUGUUUCCCAAAGUCUUGGUGUCUAAUUAGGCAUGUUAAAGUGAAUAAUUUUUUAUCCCUUUUCAACUGGUCAAAAAUGGUUACAUUUGUCAUGUCCUUCAUAUCUAAUCAUAUCGCAAUGUUCUAACGUUUUAUAUACUUUAAACUUGAAUUGGUGACUGGACAAUGUUUAUUACAUAUUUAUGAGUAAGAUAAUCUUCGGGUUCCUAAUUAUUACAUUAUAUAUACCAUUUCUGUAUGGAAUACUUUUUGACCUGUUAUCCCUCCCUAAAAAAACCACCUAAAAUGUUCAGUUAUUCAACUGUAUGGAGGGGUGGAGUGGAAUGUUAAGGAACUGAGCUGGUAAGUUGGCAACUUAUUUGGAAUAUAUACAUUAGAUCAGAUAUACAUCAGUCUCAAACCUCAAACUAUUGAUCUCCUUCCAAUAGGCCAAGCCAAACACCUCCAAAGGUCCUGAAAUUGAGUGGUGAUAUUAUUGUCAACAUGGUCCUCCUUCAACGUGGACCUGUUUCUGCAUUCAGUCACAACGUUUAUGAAUGAGAGUGAGAGAGAGAGAGACUGACAACACUCAUAGAUGAGAGAGGGGCAUGCAAAGUAUGGACUGAAGAGAGCCAACGACUACUACAUUCACCAUGACCCUGCACAUGCAACAAAAGUCCUAUUUCUUUUGGAGUACAGCCGCCGUACCCGAUCCCCUCCACCGGCCCGCCUUCCAUACGGCAUAGGACACCACCCCGCAACACAAAGCAGCAACCAACAAUACACGAUGCGCCGCGGACAAGGGCCCCGCGAGAUGUACCGCACACCGCCCUUCCAGCGGCAGAGAGAGGAGGGCGACGGGGUGACUGCUCUUGGCUCUCGGGUGAAUGUCUUUCUUUUGAUGGAAAAAAUGUGGGAUAAUGUUAAUCAUUAAAAGUUAAAUCAACAUUAAUAAAAUCUAAAUACUGAAAAAUUUCCACUGUAUUUAUCACAGUAAAAUUCUGGAAACCACAGCUGGCAGUUUUUUCUGGGGUGCGCAUUAUACAUGGGUACAAACAUUUUUUAUUAUUAUUUUUUUAAAUCCGGAUAUG